GGAGGUUUCUCAUCGUAGUGAUA
rnacentral:miRNA from 14 species